rnacentral:rRNA from 1 species
UGAGCAAUCUGCCCUUCUCAUCGGAAUAAGCGUUGGAAACGACGUUUAAUGCCGAAUACGACCUCCUUUCGCAUGAUCGGAGGUGGAAAGCUCCGGCGGAGAAGGAUGAGCUCGCGGCCUAUCAGCUAGUUGGUGUGGGUAAUGGCCCACCAAGGCGACGACGGGUAGCCGGCCUGAGAGGGUGACCGGCCACACUGGGACUGAGACACGGCCCAGACCUCCUACGGGAGGNAGCG